GGCGAGCUUCGUUGCAUCGAAACCGACAGAGUGAGAGAGAAGUGGCUGAGGCGCGGCAGACGAUGGAAGGGGACUGGAUGGACGACAAGGGUCAGCUGAUAGCGGACAAUUAUCUCUCAGUUUAACCCGAGCGAUCCGUGCCUCUAGCCGCGAUGUUGUAAAACAUUAUUGUACGCAGUCGGUCGAUCGUCCUGGGAAAUCAGCUUUCGUGAAAUAUUCGAGGAAACGGGUGUUUGCGGUUAAUCGAACUUUCCUUUGCAUACCAGUGACGAUAAAAAAUACCGUAUACUUGGUGCUUUUAAAAUGUUCCGUGUUUAAAAAUGUUCAAAAUUGAUAUAUCACGUUGGACGUUUUUAUCAAAGUUUCAAAUCUAAUUUGGAUGUCUUACACGAUGGAUGACACGAUCCAGAAAACAGCUGGCCCGAGAGCGAAGGUCACCGGCCAUGGAAUAUAAUUAGUCCGCGCCACUUAUGGAACGUCAGGCCAACUAUGGGUACACUAUACGCUGAAACGCUCACGCUAGUCGUCACGAGAUCUACUUGGAAAUCGGCCUUUGUCCAACACGUGUGCCCACGUACAGCUUUAUUUCCUUCUUAAAGCGACUCUUUCGUUCUACCGUCUGGACCAUAUGUCACGAAAGGAACGCCAGGAAAUGACCUGCGCAUUGAUGGUCAGUAUCGGCAAAUCUUUCAAUGGUAACCAACUUUUUUUCCAGGAACGUUCCAUGGACUUCCUCUUUUCCUUUAAAGGAUCCUUAGCGGGUCGAUUGUUCGGCGAAACCUUGGACGAGCCUUUGGAUUUUCCAAAUAGGAGAUAAGCGAUGCCAGAGUACAUAGUAAUUACGACAGCUGUAAUUGCCGGUGUAUUAGCCGUUGCAAAUGUCGAACGUGCCAACCACAAGGUUUCCCUCGUAAACCUGGGGGAAGAAGAUCGUCCAAUUAACUGUCUCGUUUAAUUGAAUCUUAUUUCCUUUUCGCUUGGUCCAGUUCCAUCGGGGCUUCCGCGCUUAAUCGCGCAAGCCGAACGCAAUGCCUAGAAGAACAACCACGGACAAAAGUAAUUUCAGCCUCCUGCUGGUAAAUCACGGACGAUUUAUUGUACGAUAGAAAAGACAGAGUUAAAUGGAGCAGCAUUUUUGUGGUAGUCGUUGGUACUUCAGCCUUCGACAGCUCGCAAAUUGUCGUCGAGAGCCGCUCGAAUUUUGUGAAAACGGACCAUACCACGUUUAAAUGCCUGUCCAGACACGAGGCAUUCUUUCGAAUUUUUCAGACAAUUCGUUUUGCGGCGGAUGCCACGAGGGAGAGAACAGCAAGCAGAAACGAAGUAGAGGAGUUUCGGGAACCAAGGGGAUACGGGGAGCAAUUCCCCGGGACGAGUCGAGGUGGAGGUGCAGGUAUUCUUUUUAAGGCGGAACACUUUACCGUUGCUCGUUCCAUGCUGGUAAUGGAGAAUCUCCCAGCCACCCCAAGGAAUUAAUUCGGGGCUAACGCCGAGACACUCCCCGAUAUCGAGUCACUUCGUUCCACGGGCCAAUGUUAGUAUCUGCUUACCACCCUCUCGGUUAGCUUUUCACCGUACUUAGCCAUUUCGACUCCUUCUUUUCUCUUCUUGUUCAGCGAAACGAUUUCUAAUUUGUCCUCUAAUUUGUCCAAGAUCCUCGAAUCCGUUUUACUGGGUCACUUGAAAAAAGUAAAGAAAGAGGAUAGAGAAAAAAAAGAAAGGUAAAACGUUCUCUGUAUCUUUUUCCGUCUGUUAGUCCACUGGCUGCAUCUGCCUACGUAUUCGUCGGAUAUUUGGCUGUGAUUUUUGACCAUCAAUUGUGCGCUUAAGCAGUCGUAGUAGCCCUUUAUUGCCAGGGUCGCGGUCUCCAAGAUGAAAAGCGAACUCCUGGCGAGCUUCCACCAGAAUUAAGAGACACUCGAGGCGCUUUUUAAUUAGCACGAAAGGACAUCAUCGGGGAGAGACAGAGCUUCGGUCUAAAUACGUAAUUAAAGCCGUGAAUGGAGUAGCUACAUUAACUGCGCGAAACGUCAUCGACUGCCAGUGAAAUCGGCCGAAAAACGCACUCUUUCGGAAGCGUGCUGGCGCAAUUCCUCUUCCCACGUUCUCUCAAAAACUCAUUCUCAUAACUUUAUCUAUAUUUACGCGCGAAGCUUCUUCGUCGUAAAUGCAAAUCUUUCAGAAAUUUGUUUACAUUCUCUCAUCGAGGAAGCAUCACGGUGGCAUCCCUCUUUCACGAUACAAAGCACGUGUUAUUCGCCGGUUCGCAUUUCUCUAAAAUUCUUCCAGCAUUCUCGUACGAAGGAGAAAUCACUGCAGGAUUUUCUUGGCGAUGCGAAGCACGUGUCGUUCGCCGCAGAAUCUGCUUCUCUAUGGAAUUCUUCGAGUAUAACCUCUCCCCUUCUGACGAAAAUUCAGAAGAUUCCGAAGAAAAGGAAAAAAUCGAAAUUCGAAAGCCCUGGUGUUUGAGCAAGUACGCACAGGAUGCCUUUGAAAGCAUCUUCGGGCGCACGAAGCGCGCGCAAAAGAGAUGAACGAGAUCGGGGCGCGAGGUCGAGGGAGGCUGGCACAGCAUGAAAGGGAGGGGGAGAACCCGAGGGCCGAGAAAGAGAGGGAAAUUCAAAGAUGGCGCCACGCGUAUGCCCGACAGAGAUAUAGCACAAGGGUUAAAGAAAGACGUGCACUUUCGUUGGCUUCCCCUCUCACAGCGACGAAGAGUGACCGGGCCGAAAAGUCCGAAUCCGAUCGUGGAACGGCUCAGUAGUGCGCGAGACACAUUUCCCGACGCGUGUUCGUCGCUCCUAUCGAUAUCUCUCGAUGAUUCACGAGCGUUGCGGCGAGAAUACGCGGCGACCAAUCCCCAGUUCCGUUACAUCAGCAUCCGACUACGUGGGUCCUCGACGAUUGGCUCUCUCUGCGCUGUACUCGAGUAUCUCUCUCUAGCAACCAGAAAGGGAGAAAAAGAGAUGCACUCGUAUAUUUUAUACUCGCGAUUCUGGCUUAUUCUCGUACGAGAUACAGCGUGAUCUGUUCGUUGAAGAAUCGUGCGUGCUUUUCGUGUGAAUCGAGAAAUUACGAGCUUUCGAAGAGGAAACGUUAGCGAGAAUUCAACCAACAGCCGAGCGACUGAGAAAGGGAAGAGAGGGAGAGCAGAGCAGAGCAGAGUAGAGGGUAUUUUGGACGCAGAUCGAUCGGUCGCGGCCGCUCUCCGGUUCGCGCCAUGUGACCGGUCAAAGACCAGUCUGCAUGGGAAAAGAGGUUAGAAAAUUUAUCCGUUGUCUUUGCGCGUACGGUGGCCGCGUGGUGUUACGUCCUUUCGUUAAUCGAGAAAAUGAGAGGUGUCGAGUAGCUUGACGUUGUUCGUAGCGCGCGAGCCAGUGAACGAUUCGGUUGUUUUUCAUAAAGUGUGCAUCGGUCGCCUUAGUUGUUAUAGUGGCGGCGGUCUUCGAAGAGCGCGAUCGCGAGGGAAAAGAGAGCAGCGAAGUUUGCUACGACAGUGUGUAGUUGUCUCGGGUCAGAUGUAAAAAUAAAAGGAAGCAGACGUGUCUCAAGGCUAUCGCGCCGCAUAUUGUCUCGCCAGGAGCGUAAAAUCACGCGAGAGUCUCCCUGCAUGCCGUUUAUUUCAUUCCGCCGAUAUCCUCCGAUGUAAGCGCGCGCAUCCUCUUAUCGUCGCUUCGCUCGUAUACUUGCACGGUUUACACGCGAGAGUGUUGCUAAUAUAACCCGCUUUCCGAGUGGAGCUUUUGUUCAGUGUCACGAGUUUAUUCUUCGUCGCUUGAAAAAAAUCGCGCGCUUUAGGAAGGAAAUAAAUUAGAUCACGGUAGUUCAACUAAUUAAACUCCAGCUGAAUAUAAUGUAAAGCGUAUAAUGUGUAUAUAUGGGAUUAUAAUAUUAAUUCCUCUUGUUUUUAUAUUUAUUACUGUAAAAAAAAAAAAAUACAAAAAACAGGACGAAUUUAUGUUACAACCCAGUAGUAUAAUACAAUGUAAGGAUUAAUUCCAUCGUUGAUAUAUUGGGAACAACGAAACGUAUUUUUCGUUUGUUUUGCUUUCGAUCUCUUCUCUCGUGGUAUCUCGAUUCCGGUGAGACAAAAAGAACGCCGCUUGGAACAAAUGCAGGGUUCGUCCGUGCGUGAAAUUCUACGAGGUUCGUUCCGAGAAAGAAAUCAGCUCGAAGAAAAAUAAAUAAACGUGUGUUCUCUGCAUACGUUCGAUACAUUGUUAGCACUUUUUCGAGAAUUCUUUUGUGACAAAACUUGGCUAUUGUAUGUAUAUAUAGAAAAUAUUUAUGUAUUCAACC